UACGGAGGGUGCAAGCGUUAUCCGGAUUUACUGGGUUUAAAGGGUGCGUAGGUGGAUUUGUAAGUCAGUGGUGAAAUCUCCGAGCUUAACUCGGAAACUGCCAUUGAUACUAUAAGUCUUGAAUUAUCUGGAGGUAAGCGGAAUAUGUCAUGUAGCGGUGAAAUGCUUAGAUAUGACAUAGAACACCAAUUGCGAAGGCAGCUUACUACACAGUUAUUGACGCUGAGGCACGAAAGCGUGGGGAUCAAACAGG
rnacentral:rRNA from 1 species